rnacentral:rRNA from 1 species
UACGGAGGGUGCGAGCGUUGUCCGGAAUCACUGGGCGUAAAGGGCGCGUAGGCGGCCUGAUAAGUAGGGGGUGAAAUCCUGCGGCUUAACCGCAGGGCUGCCUUCUAAACUGUCAGGCUGGAGCACAGUAGAGGCAGGUGGAAUUCCCGGUGUAGCGGUGGAAUGCGUAGAGAUCCGGAAGAACACCGGUGGCGAAGGCGGUUGGCUGGGCCACAACUGACACUGAUGCGCGACAGCGUGGGGAGCAAACAGG